AUACGUAGGUGGCAAGCGUUGUCCGGAUUUAUUGGGCGUAAAGCGAGCGCAGGCGGUUUCUUAAGUCUGAUGUGAAAGCCCCCGGCUCAACCGGGGAGGGUCAUUGGAAACUGGGAGACUUGAGUGCAGAAGAGGAGAGUGGAAUUCCAUGUGUAGCGGUGAAAUGCGUAGAUAUAUGGAGGAACACCAGUGGCGAAGGCGGCUUUCUGGACUGUAACUGACACUGAGGCUCGAAAGCCAGGGGAGCGAACGGGAUUAGAUACCCCGGUAGUCCUGGCCGUAAACGAUGAGUGCUAAGUGUUGGAGGGUUUCCGCCCUUCAGUGCUGCAGCAAACGCAUUAAGCACUCCGCCUGGGGAGUACGACCGCAAGGUUGAA
rnacentral:rRNA from 1 species